rnacentral:lncRNA from 1 species
AAUGAUUCAUUCGUAAAUCUCCCAAAAGAAAUGGACUCCCCUAGAGCAUGCAUCCGGUUCCCCUGUAUUUACAACAAAGAAGAACCUUUCAAAGGAAAGCUAUGAAGAAAGCAAGAAACUGUGUGUGUGUGUGUGUGUUUUUAAGUAUUGAAAGAAGCAGAGGAAAAGUACCUGUUUAGCUUCAUUGGGUAUGGCAGAAGCGUAAGAGAAGGCAUGCAUAAGACAAGCUGAAUCUCCCAUUCUAAGACGACAAGCUACAAAACAAACUUAGGAAACCUGGAACAGUACCAGAAUGUUACCAGAAAAAAUUACUAGGAUUAUUGUACUGCCGUUUUUGUUUUUCUCCCUUAAAU